rnacentral:rRNA from 1 species
UACGUAGGGUGCAAGCGUUAAUCGGAAUUACUGGGCGUAAAGCGUGCGCAGGCGGUGAUGUAAGACAGUUGUGAAAUCCCCGGGCUCAACCUGGGAACUGCAUCUGUGACUGCAUUGCUGGAGUACGGCAGAGGGGGAUGGAAUUCCGCGUGUAGCAGUGAAAUGCGUAGAUAUGCGGAGGAACACCGAUGGCGAAGGCAAUCCCCUGGGCCUGUACUGACGCUCAUGCACGAAAGCGUGGGGAGCAAACAGG